CCUACGGGUGGCAGCAGUGAGGAAUAUUGGUCAAUGGGCGCGAGCCUGAACCAGCCAAGUAGCGUGAAGGAUGACUGCCCUACGGGUUGUAAACCUCUUUUGUCGGGGAGCAAAGCGAGUCACGUGUGACUCAUUGAGAGUACCCGAAGAAAAAGCAUCGGCUAACUCCGUGCCAGCAGCCGCGGUAAUACGGAGGAUGCGAGCGUUAUCCGGAUUUAUUGGGUUUAAAGGGUGCGCAGGCGGAGGUGCAAGUCAGCGGUCAAAUUGCGGGGCCCAACCCCGGGACUGCUCUUGGAACUGCGUGGCUGGAGUGCAGGAGGGGCAGGCGGAAUUCCUGGUGUAGCGGUGAAAUGCGUAGAUAUCAGGAGGAACACCGGUGGCGAAGGCGGCCUGCUGGACUGCAACUGACGUUGAGGCCCGAAAGCGUGGGGAGCAAACAGGAUUAGAUACCCUAGUAGUC
rnacentral:rRNA from 1 species